GGCGCCCGGGCUGCGGCGGGCGAGCGGUUAGAACGGGGAGCCGUGCUCGCCCGGGCCUGCGGGCUAUGACGAUCACCUACAGCUGCGUGGCUCAUGGCCGAGCGGUCCUGGCGGAGCUGGCCCUGACCGGCGGCUCCUAUCAGGAAGCAGCGGCAAAGGUACUCAGGCAAGUGCUUCUGAAAGCCGAGCCAGCGACCAUAAUUCAAAUAGGAAGCUACGUCUACCAUACUCUCUUUAUUGACGGAAUCACUUAUUUAUGUGCUACAGACAAUGGCUUGGAUUCUAUGGCACCAUCUGCAUUUCUUAAAAAAGUUAGUGAUAUUUUUACAAGAAAUCCUUUGAUGUCACAAGAACAUUUUUUCCCUUCAAACGCACUUGCUACAGAUUUUCAACGAAUACUAGCACAGCACAUGAUGGAAUACAAUACAAGUCAAAGAGACAGCAACACAGUGUCCACAGUGAAAAGUCAAGUGACUGAUGUAAAGAACAUUCUGUUGAGAAACAUCGAUACAGUUUUAGAAAGAGAAAUAGAAACAGUGAGCAUCGUCACUGAAGGAGCAGAGGACCCCCAGGCAACGAUAUGCAGCAUGUGUCAGAGAGAGGAGCCUGAGAUGGAGUCUGGGACUGGAGGUCUCUUGGCAGCCACAGCUGUGUGUGAUGGAACCUGCACUGUGGACAGGAACUGUCAGGCCAGCUCUUGACAUCUACAACCAAAGAAACCCUGAAGAAAAUAGUCCAAGUAGAUGGAACAUGAGAGCAGAUGAAAAGCCCAAGUUUCAGGAAUAGAUGCUUUUUCUAAAGUGACCACUUUUUUGGUUACUUGAAGGCAGUCACUUGAAGUAAAUAUUGAGUGCAGCAUUGUUGGUGAGAAGUAGUUGGAUUCUGGAUACAUCUGUAAGGUGUUAAAACCUAGUGUUAAAACUGCUAAAAUCCUGAAGAUGAGGCUGAAGAAUUUGAAAAAACAAGGAAGAUUCCCAAGAGGAUAUGUUGGAAAUGCUUCAAGAUUGUAAUUACCACCCUUACAAUUCUCCUUUCAAUCAUUAUCAUUCUUUUAAGAACACACAUAAUACCCACCUGACCCUUCCUCCCCCCAAAGUACCAAUAAAUUGUUACAUGGAAUUAGA